AUUGAACGCUGGCGGCAGGCCUAACACAUGCAAGUCGAGCGGAUGAAGAGAGCUUGCUCUCUGAUUCAGCGGCGGACGGGUGAGUAAUGCCUAGGAAUCUGCCUGGUAGUGGGGGACAACGUUUCGAAAGGAACGCUAAUACCGCAUACGUCCUACGGGAGAAAGUGGGGGAUCUUCGGACCUCACGCUAUCAGAUGAGCCUAGGUACGAUUAGCUAGUUGGUGAGGUAAAGGCUCACCAAGGCGACGAUCGUUAACUGGUCUGAGAGGAUGAUCAGUCACACUGGAACUGAGACACGGUCCAGACUCCUACGGGAGGCAGCAGUGGGGAAUAUUGGACUAUGGGCGAAAGGCUGAUCCAGCACUGCCGCGUGUGUGAAGAAGGUCUUCGGAUUGUAAAGCACUUUAAGUUGGGAGGAAGGGCAGUAAGUUAAUACCUUGCUGUUUUGACGUUACCGACAGAAUAAGCACCGGCUAACUUCGUGCCAGCAGCCGCCGUAAAAC
rnacentral:rRNA from 1 species